rnacentral:lncRNA from 1 species
UGAAAGGCUGAAUCUUCAGCAGCUGAGGCAUUGGCCACUCGGACAUCCCGAGCACAGACUUGUGCCUUCGGAUCCUGAUUUAUUAAGUGAGAAGUCCACUAUCCUGAAGCUGCUAUGCUGGAGAGACCAUGUGAAAAGAUCAUAUAGAAGUAGAAAGAUGCCCAAGAAGCCAUAUAUGCUUCUUUCUGUAGCUGUUUCAGUCUGCCCACCCAGGGAUCGGACAUGUUAGAGAAAGAGUCUUAAAGAUUAUCCCAACCCCAGCCACCAUGUGACUGCAACCUCAUGAAAACCCCACACCAGAACAGUGGUAUCAGCUCAAACUUUGCAAGGGCUAGGAGACUGAGGGCAGCUGACCAGAUUUAUGUGAUUGAGCCUAAUAAACUGGCCUGAGUAAGCUUCCCUGGUUGACAAUAUUCUGCGAGUAUUAUCACACACUGGAUGUCAGGAAAUUAACACUGUCCACAACUCAUGGAAAGGACAACUGGGAGUUCUGUGUUUAGAGCUUUCCUGAACUCUGCCCUAUGUACCCCUUCCCUUGGCUGAUUUUAACCUGUAUUCUUAGCUGCAAUAAACCGUAACUUUCCAUGAGCACUGUGAGUUUGUCUUGUGAAUUAUUAAACUCACGGGUGGUCUUGGGGUCCCCCCAAGCUGACAAUUAAUGUCAGAGAGGAGGAGGAUAUUGGGGGACCCCAACCUUGCAAUCGGUGUCAGAAGUGAGGGUG